UGAAUACAUAGGUCUUUAAGAGCAAACCCGGAGAACUGAAACAUCUAAGUACCCGGAGGAAAGGACAUCAAUUGAUACUCCCCUAGUAGCGGCGAGCGAACGGGGACCAGCCAAGCCUUGAGAGUGACUAGAACAUGUUGGGAAGCAUGGCCAUAGCGGGUGACAGCCCCGUAUAGGAAGCUCGAUAGGAUGUAUUAAGUAGGGCGGGACACGUGAAAUCCUGUCUGAAGAUCGGAGGACCACCUUCGAAGGCUAAGUACUCCUUACUGACCGAUAGCGAACCAGUACCGUGAGGGAAAGGUGAAAAGCACCCCGACGAGGGGAGUGAAACAGUACCUGAAACCGAACGCCUACAAUCAGUCGGAG
rnacentral:rRNA from 1 species